UACGAAGGGUGCAAGCGUUAAUCGGAAUUACUGGGCGUAAAGGGUGCGUAGGCGGUUCGUUAAGUCUGUCGUGAAAUCCCCGGGCUCAACCUGGGAAUGGCGAUGGAUACUGGCGAGCUAGAGUGUGUCAGAGGAUGGUGGAAUUCCCGGUGUAGCGGUGAAAUGCGUAGAGAUCGGGAGGAACAUCAGUGGCGAAGGCGGCCAUCUGGGAAAACACUGACGCUGAAGCACGAAAGCGUGGGGAGCAAACAGG
rnacentral:rRNA from 1 species